AACUUGUGUGUGAUAAUUGUUCUUGUGACUUGUUCUUUGUUGUUAUCUUCUUUUCUUCUGUGUUUGUUUUUCGUUACCUGAGAAAAUGUCUUGCUGCGGUGGUAACUGUGGUUGCGGAAGCUCCUGCAAGUGCGGCAGUGGCUGCGGAGGGUGAGUGAGGUUUUCGUGUCUUUGUUGUGUCACCUUUUCAAAUAUCGGUUUUUUUCUUUGUUGAGAGUUUUCUUCCUGGAUUUUAAUUUGCUUUUCGGGGACCCUUUUGGUUGAAUUUCACGAAAGUUCACGCUUUGUUAAUUUUCUUGCAUGGGGAUAUUAUGAUCUGAACAUUUAUUUUGCUUCUAUAGAACAUGUAGACUUGUGUUUUCUUUACACGGGCAAGGUUUUUGGGGUGUUUUGAUUUGCUAUCUGGGUAACCUUUCGUUGAAUUUGUAUAGAAGUUCGUUAAUUUUUUUUUUUCUUACGUGGGUUUUUGCAUGUCAAAUUCCGACCACUUUUAUGGUCUAAAGAUUGCGGUGCUUCGAUUUUGUUUGGUUUUUGAAUACCUUUUGAGUUGAUCUGUGGUUGUUAGAAUCUCCACGGGUUUUUAUUUCUGGAAAAAUGGUUUUGGAUGUCCUCAAAUAUAUUGAAUGUGAAUUCACCCGAUCAUGAUGGAAAUGAACCAUAUUAAUGUUUGUGCACUGCUAAGAAGAGAGAAACGCAGUGCUUUCAAGUAAAAAAAAAUGAUUAAUAGAGGAGUUUUUACCAUUUGUGUUGUCUAAAAUUCCCUUAAAACUUUUUUGUUUUCUUAUUUUCUGGUUUUUGAUUGUUCUGCAGCUGCAAGAUGUACCCAGACUUGAGCUACACGGAGCAAACAACCACCGAGACUUUGGUCAUGGGAGUGGCACCCGUGAAGGCUCAAUUCGAAGGUGCUGAAAUGGGUGUUGCUGGUGAGAAUGAUGGCUGCAAGUGUGGAUCAAACUGCACAUGCAACCCCUGUACUUGCAAGUGAGCUUGAAUCGCAAAAGCUUGAAGCAGAGAUGGACCUUAAUUAGAAUUAGCGGCAGGAAUAAUUACAAUAAUUAACUAUUAUCCGUAGUUAAAAACCUUAAAAUUAUGUAAGUUUGUGUGUCUGUUUUGGUUUUCUCUGGUGUUAGGUCUGAACACCCUUUAGAAUAAAGUGGUCAUGUCUUGCCCUUGAACAAGUUCAAGUGCUAUGGACUUGUGAUGGGAUUAUCUAGCCAUGGUUACUUUGGUUUGUUCUGUGUAAAGUUGGCUAAUCAGAAUUAUCAGUCUCUGCUUAUAAUAUUAUAUUACUAGUAAAAGUGAGUGUUUUCUGUGAUUUUGUUAAGAAUUUUAUUUAUAGAAUAAAGGAUAACAAUCAGAUAAUUACAAAAUGAAUACGAAUAGUAGUUGGUUCUGAUGAAUGUGUGUGGAUUUGAAAACUAAAGGAAGUUGAUGUGAAAAAAAGGAUCAUUUCUCUCCAUUUGUUUGGGAGGUACCAUAUGAUAUUGCAAUGGCAUUUUUCCAAACACAUGGUGAGGUCGGUGCUGGUCCCCUUCUACUUGAAGUCUGAAGACUGAAAGUUUGAGUUCCAUGUGCGUGUUUCUGAAACUAUUGGCACAGAUUACUAUUGUGAUAGUUACAGCUAGCUACUGUGGCUCUUUUCGAACAAUCUUAAUAUUUUCAACUUUUUAAUUAACUUGAAACUUAACAAAAUGCAUGAAAUUGUAAUUAAACUAAUGAUGGAAACUAUGUGUGUCUUAAUCUUUUUCAAUCUUUUAAUUAGAGUGAAACUUAUAAAAUGCAUAAAGUUGCAAUUAAACUAAUAAAGGAAAGUGUGUCUUUGUGUGUUAUCUUCCAAGUUAAAACAUGUAAUAUCUUAUUUACAGAAUUAAAUGUUUUAUAAGUUGAGGAGCAUAGUAAAUUUAAAAAUGUUUUAUAGAACAAAAUAUAAAUAAAUAUUUUGUAUGAACAUAAAUCAAUGUUUUGUAUUGAUAAAUUUUUAAAAUUUUAAUAAAAUAAUCUAUUAAACACUCAAAACUAAGAGUAAAAAUAUAUCAGUAAUCUAAAGUUUAUUCAAGUCUAAAUUAUUAAAUUUUAUAUUAAUGUAAAAUUAAUUAAUGUCAAAAUUAAUUUUAUAACACAUUAAAAUUUAAAAUAUUGUGAAAAUAAUAUAUAUAGCGGAAUAAAUAUUUUUAAUAACAUUCUAUUAGACUCAGUCAACACAAGUGCGGUAACAUAUUAUCCACUUAAAAAAGAAGGGAUGCCAUUCAAUUAAAAUUAACUUCUUUCGAGCUGAUUUGGCUCAAUUUUCUAGUCAACUUUUGGAAGAGAUGAUCUUAUUUAAUCUUUGACUCGGAUGAAUAUGCCUGGAUCUCUAGUCCAAGUAGACUUGAGUUUAUUUUUGAAUAAGAUUGACUUGUCUAGACUUUCAAAUCAAAUCUUCAAUUUAGAUACACAUAUAUUCCUUAGUGUGAACAAGUGGUUAUAGAACUGGUAAUCCAUUUAAUGAUAGGCUACACUUGUUCCAUACGUCUAUCCAUUGAAUAUGUCUAAUAAUUUAAUUCUUAUUUUGUCUUCUCUUCAAGUCUACUUUAUGAAAUCAUCAAGAUAGUUGGGUGAUUUAGGAACAUCUUAUGAUAGCCAAAAUUGUAACCUAAUCCUGUCUAACUAGUGUCAUUCAACAAUUGCAAAACAAAGUAAACUUGUGCAUGAGGUCCACAAUGCUUGGUCCUUGUAUGCUUUGACAGGAAUGAUUGACUCCAAUACCUCGUACGAGACCCAUGUAAACUAUGUGAACAUUAGUUAAGUUAACGCCUUAUUUAAUUGCGAACAUGAAACAUUAAGACUACAAAUACAAUGUUACUUGAUUAUGUUACAUAUGAUAUAUUCUUCAUCGAUACCCGAGUAAAUCAUUGUGGUAGAGAUUCUGAUAGUUCAAUACGCGAUCUCCACUCCAUUGGCAUACAAGUGGAAAAUUCAAUUGUACUUAUGAAAUUGGUACAAUAAAAGACAUGUGAAACCAUGCCUAAGACUGUAACAACGAUGUACAUCCACCCAUGGUUUUUAUAUGUUGAUCUGUUGAUCUACACAUCUUCCUGUACAAAACAACUAAACAAGCAGUUUCCUAACUAGAUCAUUGAGUCCUACGAAGAUUACUUGAAAAAUUUAAGUACAUUAAGUGUACUUUAUUAUCGAUCCUUUCAAUCAAUCAUAAUAUAUAUGCUUUGCAUGGGCAUGUAUUUUCUGAAUAUUUGAAUCCUUUUCUAGAGGCAAUAUAUUUUUCCUCAACCACUUUAGCUUAACCAUGGACCUCACUAGGGACUCCUCAUUUACUGGUGUAAUACCUAACAAUGUUUGACAUAUGUCCUCCCAAUCAAACAUUGUUGUUCCAAUUACAGAAGACCAUAAACUCUAAACCCUAAUUGAAGUGAAACAUCUUGUAAGGUUAUUGUACAUUGUUCAAUGGGCAGAUGAAAGACAUGUGUCUCAGGCAUCCACCUCUCCAGCAAAGUUGUAACUAAGUCAUGAUCUACCUUUAAAUGUCUCAAUUUAGCAACAUAUAUACACAAUCACUGACUUGACUAAUUCAAUGUGAUUCGUUGUCAAUCAUGUUUGUCCAUUUCCACAUAAUCAACUUGACCAGCAAAGCACGACAGCCUAGUAGGCCAACCCAACUAUGUUGACAAGCCACCCUGUAGCCUGACUUAAUUACACUAAUAGAGGCUAGUUUCAUAUGCAUUGUUCUGUUGUCAUGUCCACACCAACCUGACAUGUAAUUUCCCUUUUUUGAUUGUGCCAUUGUCUUUGUUGAAUUGAAGAAUCCAUAUUCUAUUUGUCAAUCCAACAUUAGCCUGCAUUCAGCUCAACAACCCGAUAGCUUGAUGGGUCGGGUUUCAAAAUGACUUAUUACAUUUAAGUUUGUACAAAAGAUGAUAGUGACUAAGGCCAACAUGCCUAAUAAAUGCUUACCAAACCUCAUGUAGUGUGAAUGUCAAUAAUGUUAUUUGAACUCCAAAGGUUUAGUCUGAUCCGUUAGAUGAAAUUUGGUGGAUAACAUGAUAGUGACUAAACUUGCAUGCCUACUAAAUGGUUAUCAGACCUUAUGUAGUAUGGUUUCCAGACCUCGUCUAAUGUGAACGCCAAUAAUAUUUUUUUAGCUCCAAAGAUUCAAUAUGAAUCGUUACAUUAGAUUGGGUGGACAACAUGAUAGUGACUAAAGUUUACAUGCCUAAAAAAUGCUUGUCAGACCUCAUGCAUUAUGGAUCUAAAUCAUGUGCAUUCAUCUCCACAUGUUCAAUCUCGAACCUUAGAUUAAAGUAGGUGGAAUUAUCAUUGUUGUUGGCCACAAUGAACACCUGACCCUAUAAAUAAACUUAUAGGUUGUUUGAUCAAUCUAAUCAACUCAGUGACAUACUACUGCAACCAUCCAUGACAUCUACAUAAUUAAUUGUGUUGGUGUACUUUCAACGGCUCCAUCUUCAUAAAAGUACAUAUGCAUGCAAUUUGAUCAAUUGAGGCUAAAUACAAAAGUGAAUGGAUGAUGUUGAUAAUAUGAGAUGAAUAUGUUAUUAGGGUUUAGAUUUCACCUAAUCACUCUCAUGCAUAACGAAUUCAUCUUCUUCAUUAACGUUAAUGGCACUUUCUAAUUUACUUUCAACCUGAUGUCUCGGUGAAGAAAGUCUACUCCUAAUUACUAGUUCACAAUGACUUGUAUCCCUAACAACUAAUCAUGCAUUACAUUCGCACAGAAGUUUAAAGGCAAUCAGUCCUCCUCUCCUUAUGUCUAGGUAAUAUUGCUCCCGAGAGAAUUCCCCAGAUUGUGAUUUGUAAGAUAUCUCUUGAUAACAAUCCCAGGGAGAGAAAAUGAGAGUUGUCACAUCCCCAAAUCGUCCAACCCUAAGAGUAUGAAAUCUCCUGAUAUUUACAAAUUAUAAGAUUUAUGCUAUACAUAAAUAAAACAUCACAAGCAUUUGAGCAAAGAAGAAUAUCUCUAACAAUUAAUGAAAGAACUAGGUGUACAAUGGAAUGGAAGAGAUAAAACCCUAAAAAGAGAAGAGGAGAGCUCCCACAUCCCCAAAUCUACCCCCAAAGGGGUGAAAAGAGUGUUUCUGUGUUUAAGCCAUCAAAAGAUACAAACCCUAAGACGUCCAGGUCUUUAAAUAAGGCAGAAAAAUAACAGAAAAUGGGUCCAAACCCAACAACAGAUCAUAAAAAUAGUAGAAAACUGGCCCAAAACAUGCGUCGCCGGCGCUCAACGCUAAAAUGACGCUCAGCGGUAGGUGUGGCACUCAAAUAAGGCUCAACGGUGACGCUCAGGUGCAAAACAGCUUAACUGGCACUCACCGGUGGUGCUCAACGUAACUUUUUUGCACUCUGGUUGACUAGUUGAAUUUUCUGGUUGACUGGUUGACUUUUCUGCACUCCAACUCCUUGAUACUUCAACCCUUCUUUCAAAUCAUUCCAAAAACCUACAAAAUCAAGGGAAUCUAGUAAUAAAAUCAUCAAGUAUAACCUCAACUUCCUUAUUCACAAAACUAAAGAUAAAACAUGAAUCAAAGCAAGUUUCUAAGUCAAAAAGGGUGCAUUUAGGUGGCACAAUGGGUACAUGACUCUGCUUCCCAUAUCCUAGGUUGAUGGCACUGACAUCUUGUGGAAUCUAAAUAGUCUGAAAUGGUAAUUCCUCUGAAUCUUGAGACUGUUCCUAACGAAGUUGAAUGGACAUCUGCCACAUCUGAUUAAUCAAGCUUUGAAUUGACACUCUGGUAUCUUGCUAGAACUGAAUGUUCUGCAUGGUCAUAUGCUUCAACAACUCCUCUAAUGUAUGCUCCAAAGUAGAAGGUUGAGGAGCUAUUAGGGCAGAAACAUCAUAUUGUUGACUUUGGUAUUGCUGGUGGACUGGUGAAGGCGUACAAGUGUUUUGCAAUGGUGGUUCUUGUUAUUGAUGUUGCGGUUGUGGAGUACCAUACCAACCCAUGUUAUGAUCAUUCCAUCUAGGAUUGUUGUUGUAACCAUACUAAUCAAAAUGAUGUUGAGCAAGGAAGAAUUCGUCCAAGAACAGUCGCUUAAGAUCUUGCCAAGCCAUGAUGGAUCCUAGAAGAAGACAAUACAGUCAAUCCCUUGUUGCUCCCUUUAGUGAAUGCGGAAAUGCCCUUAAGAAAAUUUGAUCGUUAGGGACAUGUGCAGGCUUCAUUGUAGAGAAAAUGAUAUUGAACUCCUCCAAAUGUUUAUGUGGGCAUUCACCCGCAAAACCAUGAAACUUAGGCAGCAAAUUUAUCAGUCUAAUAGUGAGAACGCAUGGAACAUACUCAUCAUGUGCAAAUAGCUCAUAAGGAGCACUCUCACAAAUUGUAGGAGAAGCCAUACUGUUCUCAGCAUAGAAAUUAGCAAAAUAGAAAUCACAAAAAGAAGUAGAUUUAGAUGUGUAUGCAACAGGUGCAGUAUGUGAAAAAUAUGGAGCAUUAGAAACAAAAGGAGAAUCAUAAUUGGAAUCACAAAAAGAAGAAGCAGUAUGCAUAGAACUGAAAUAGGUAGACAUGUAGAAGAAAUGCAACUAAUACUAUCUAAAUGCAAAGACUAACAAUUCCUAGAAUGCCUAAAUAAUCUACGAAAAUGUGAUAUCAAUAUCAAGAUCAAAGGGUGGUGAUGGUCCAAGAUUGUCCCUAGUCAUACAUUAAGUCAACUCUAUUAGCAAAAGUCAACAUAGUGAAAACAUAAGGGUGAAACAACAAUAUUUGCAAACCUAUUCAGAAUGGGCUGAAAAUUUGUGACAAACCCCAAAAAAUCAUGAAAAGAUUGUGCAAAAAAUUAUAAAGAAAAACUCAAAGUAUAAUUAUGUUAACCGACACAGGAAAGUGUGAAAAACAGUAAAAAUAAAACUUCAAAAAUAUGAAAGAAAUAGUAAACAACCUUUUUUUGGAUUUUGAGGCAUGAGCUUGGGGUGAAGUGAUGACUAUUGCACUACUUGUGAUUUUCUACCCAAAUCUACCCAAAAAGCACAUAUGAUUUGUCCAAUUUCGACUUUGUGAGCAAAAGUUACUAUUCCUAGAAGUUUAGACUCACCCGUUUUUCACAAAACCGAAUCUGGACAACCAGUGGUGCUUCUGGGAUUUUUCUAUGAAAAUAUGAGCCAAAAGAAGUGACUACACCAAAUUUCAACAAAAAAUAAGGCCUCUAGCUAUCAAAACGAAAAAUGGCAAUUAAUUAGGAAAAAUUGGGCACUAUUCACGCACUAUUCACUGUGUGCAACUCUUCAAUUGCAUUCUUGUACCUUACAAGCUAAAUAGCAUCCAAUUUCUCCUAAUUGUGACUCAAACAAACAAAAAACAACACAAUUAAACAUGCAACACGCACUUACAGACUAUAACAACACACAAAAUGCACACACAACACUCACUAACACAACAAAGAACCUAAGACCGAACUGUUGGUCCCCUGGCAACGGCACCAAAAUUUGACCGAGAUCAUACCGAAUCAAAUUUAAUAUGCAAUUAAGUGUAGUAUAAUACUAGGAAGUGACUCCUAGGUCGUCUCUCAAGGACCAACUAUGGUUCAAGAAAUAAGAUCGAACACUUGGUGGGGGUGUUUUUGGACAUAUUUUGUGUAUGAAAUUAACUAAAUUAAAACUUGAAUUUAACACAGAUUAAAACACAGUUGAUCACUAGCUUAAUUGCAUGCUUCCAAUCAUAGAUUAGCAACAAAUACCCACUCCUCUAACCCCCAAUCCAACACAAGCUAACUAACUAAGCGAAGAUUAACCAUAUUUUCAUAAAAGCGAAUUAAGCAAACGCCAUGGUCACAUUCAAUCAAUUAUGCAUCACAGUUUCAUCAACUAAGCAAAUAUUAAAAACCUAUUAGGCAACUAAGCAUGUACCCGAUUGCAAAUGCACAACCAGAUUCAAUAUCAACCAAGUUAGAGUAGCAAAAACACAAUAACAGUCCAGAAAUCUCAAGGAAACGAUGCAAUUUCGCUAAUGACCAACCAAACAAACGUAAGCUAACAUUAAAUCGAAAUUACAACAAUAAAACCCAACUGAAAACAUGAAAACAGAGGCAAUACGAAUAGGCAAAGUUGGAAUGCAAAAUUGAAAUGUGUCGGUACCAGGGGGUAUGGUUUGAAGAUAGAGUAUAACGCAGCGGAAUUAAACUUAGAGUAAGCGGAAAACGUGUUCAAUCACUUUUAAAACGAAGUUGGUCCUUUUUCGCAAAAUAAUUUUCUUUCAAAAAAUUAAUCGAACAGUUUGAGUGCAGGCAAAAGUAACAAGUGCAGGGAGUAGAAAAAUCACACAAGUAAUUUUUAUACUUGUUUGAUUCAGAAGAAUCUAUGUCCAGUCGUCAAUCACUAUAAACAGUGAUUAACAGUUCCACUAAAAAGAUGUUUCUCAGAUUAAAAUUAUAGUGAAUAAAAAGCAAAUAAAUAAACCUUCCUUCGACAAGCGAACCGGAAGAAGACCACUCUGUCAACUCGAAGAGAACUGCUCCAGCAAUCGACCAACGAUUUGUGAGCUUCUCCUGUUCACGAGACCAGGCAGAACACCUUGCUAACUCCAAGAGAGCCUGCUCCGACUAUCGACACACGAUACGCGAGCCUCUCCUUUCACGAGGCCAAGCAAGGGAACUUUGAACAAAGCUUAUGAGAACUUUCCUCUGACAAACAAUGUUCUAUUAAGCUUCUCAGUUCAAAAACAUUACCUCUGAAAUUUACACAAGCCAAAUAUAUAGCCAAUUUCACUGAAUGCCAAAGGUCAGGUCCCAACUGCCACGAAUAAUCGAUUAUUGUAAGUGAUAAUCGAUUAUUUGAGUCCAUUACAGGUUUUUGAAAAUGUGAUAAUCGAUUAUAUGAGGUGAUAAUCGAUUAUUCCUGUAUGACUUGUGAUAAUCGAUUAUUGCUUUCCCAUAAUCGAUUAUUCCAGUNAAAAUGUGAUAAUCGAUUAUAUGAGGUGAUAAUCGAUUAUUCCUGUAUGACUUGUGAUAAUCGAUUAUUGCUUUCCCAUAAUCGAUUAUUCCAGUAGAAAAUACAAGUGAUAAUCGAUUAUUGCUUGUCCAUAAUCGAUUAUUGCAGUUAAAAAUGCAAGUUUUACAAAGUUUAUAAGACUUUCCUACUACAUUUAAUUUCUACAAAUUGCUUUUAAAUAAUUUUAAACUCCUCUUCAACUAAGACCUUUUGCAGCAUCAUCAAAACAAUUGUCUUCAAGAUUUACCAAUACUCCUUAUUGGUAACAAUCUCCCCCUUUUUGAUGAUGAUAAAAAAUUUAAUGUUAAAAGCAACUUUGGCUUACUUGCAAAACAUACAAGCUAACAGACAACAGUAAAGUUAGCAAUACCUGUAUCAAUUUAUAUUAUACUUCUCCCCUUAAAAUUAUAUUUCUCCCCUUAAAAAUAUAUUUCUCCCCCUUUUUUAUCAUAAGCAAAAAGAUUAUAAAGCUCCCCCUUAAUGUGAUCUCCCGCUCAAUUAAACAAUGUAUGCAUAAAGACAAGAGAAAAGAUCGUUUAUUCAUUAACAUAAAGGAUUACAUAUUUAUCAUAAGGAGCAUCAAGAACAUGAACAUAUAAUGAACAUAUAGCGUUUAAAAUAUUUCUCUUAAGUAAAAUCAAUCAAGUAACAAAGCACAUGAACAUAUAAACCGAAAUCUAAAAUUCAGGGCUUUGGGAUCUCUCAGAUGGUUGAAGGUUGAGAUGAUUUUCAAUAUUUCCUAGGCGAACAUCAAUUUCAUGAAAUUGAUCAACCACUUAAUCUUCAUGAGCUUGCUGCCACUCAUAAAUUUGAUCAAAGUAAGUUCUUUGGGCAAGACUUACAUCCUCCAAAUGCUUAGACAAAUUUAAGAAAGUGUUCUUCCAUGAAAAUUGUAUGAUAAUCGAUUAUAGAUGAAGAUAAUCGAUUAUCUGCUCAUAAGUGUCCAGAUUUGGGUUUGAGUAAGAAUAAUCGAUUAUUCUAUGGGAUAAUCGAUUAUCUGCAGUUAGAGACUUUGCCAAAAACAAAAAUAAUCGACUAUUAUCCUAUGAUAAUCGAUUAACAAUGCUAAACUUACGAAAAAUGGGAAAAUUUCAUAAAUCUUGAGCCUAAGACAUAUCUAACACUCCCAACUCUCUCCUAAGUUCAUAGAAUCUAGACACCCCCNNNNNNNNNNNNNNNNNNNNNNNNNNNNNNNNNNNNNNNNNNNNNNNNNNNNNNNNNNNNNNNNNNNNNNNNNNNNNNNNNNNNNNNNNNNNNNNNNNNNNNNNNNNNNNNNNNNNNNNNNNNNNNNNNNNNNNNNNNNNNNNNNNNNNNNNNNNNNNNNNNNNNNNNNNNNNNNNNNNNNNNNNNNNNNNNNNNNNNNNNNNNNNNNNNNNNNNNNNNNNNNNNNNNNNNNNNNNNNNNNNNNNNNNNNNNNNNNNNNNNNNNNNNNNNCGAUGAUUCUUAGUAAAUCAAAUUCAGAUUUUAGCAUACUCAAUUUACCCAUGAAAUCAACAAUCAUUUAUCAAACAAUUAAGAUGUUUAUGAUUCAGCUACUAAUUUAUAAAGUACAAUGAACACAAUAGUAGCUUCAAUGAAUAUAAUCACAUCACAGCUNCUCCAAGUUUAUCAUGAAGACUUUAUUGUUAGCACAAUUUACUCAAAGCUAACUUUGCCAGCACGAUGUAUAACUUCCCAAACAACAACUAUAAUUCAUGUAUUUUCAUAUCCCAGUCUGCUCAAUCUCGUGAAUUCAGUUGUGCAUAUCAAAACAACAUAUACAACAAUUCAAACAAUAUGCAGUGAUCAGAUUUAAUUUAAUAGAAUUUUUUUAUCUAGGUCCAAAGAAUUUUAACUACCAACUUUAUCAACUACUUCAGGCUUCUCUUAAGAAACUUAAAGCACACAAAUCUUUCUUUCAAGUUUCAGAAACCAGAAAAAAAAAAAUUCUCAGACAACAUUUGUUAGGCUAAGUAUUUAGAAAUUUGAGACAAAAUAAGACAGCUGGAAAUUGUUAAUCAAGAAGCUAUGAGACAUUUAAGAAAUAGUCAAAUUUGGGUGCAUCAGUUUUCAUAUUUAAGCUUGCGUUGGUCUCUCAUCCUUUUAGAAGGAUUUAAAAGUUUCUUUUGAAUAAUUUAUUUUAGAUAUCUCACAAGUACCUAACUUUUGCUACAGGAUUACUCAAAUGUAAGUACAUCAUACAUACUUCAGGAUUAAGCAAUUGAACCAGCAACUUAUUAUCAGCAAAAGAUUUAAAAAAAAUGGUGGUAUGGAGAGUGAAAAUACUCAAGGCUGUGAAAACACAAGAUUCUUUUGUUAUGAACAUGUUUAAAUCAGAGAAAUGAAUUUGCGAUCACAGCUGAUUGAUGUUAAACAACAGUGUUUCUAAAAUUUACUUAUCCAGAUCCAAUUAUGUGUCAAUUUUAAAUAUAAUGAAUCAAAUAACUUUUGGACACCUAAUUGGUUUCAAAAACAAUUUUGAAAGCUUGAAUAAGACAAUAUGAAAUUAUUGCAAGAUCUUCAGUAAUUAACUAAUGGAAAAUCAGAAUUUAAAAAUGAAAAAUUUACUCAACCAAGGAAAUACAGUUUUGCCUAAAUUCUUUUAAAAGACUAUUCCUUUCUGAAUUUCACACCAAAAUUUUAACACAAAAGCUGAUUUAGAUUUUAUCUUUCAACAAUUUUUUAAACCAAAUAAUUUACAGUACAAUUUUGCAAAUUUGAUAUGUUCAUUUACUGCCUCCAAGCUCUUAAUGUGUAUAAUCAUAUCUCAUAUGGUAUGCAUUUGAACUUUUUUUAAAAGCAAAUCUCCACAGAAAUAAUUUCAAAACAAAGAUGAUAAUUUAAUUUUCAAAAUGUCUUUAAUCAUCCAAAAAUGCCAAUAGAAACUAUCAACUAUCUCAUUCAAAUGAAUUUUUCAUUACUUUUGAUGUUUGGCAAAAAUUAUACCAAGGCUAACUUUAAAGUACUCAUGAAGUUAAAUACCAAACCAGUUAAGCACAAAUUCAAUUGACAAUUAAAAGAAAAGCAAUGAAAUAACAAAACACAUGACUAAUCAUACCAAAAGAUUAAAUUCAGUACAUGAAUGUCUCAAAUAGAUGAAUUUCACUGAUUAAAAUGUGUAAACAUACAAGAACACACCAUCAGGAUAAAUGAAACAAUGAUGAACAUAUAAUUUGCCCAAACAUAAAUGAAUUCAAUAGUAAUCUCAUAAUGGAAGAUCAAGCAGAUCAAAAUGUAACAACAAAGUUUAAAUACUACUUAGCUCAAUCACUUGGUGCUCGAACCAAGGCUUUUAUAUCACUUGAUGAAUUUACUUCCUAGAUUUGAGCAUCAAUUCCAGAAACAGAACAUCAUAAAGUUUUCUUCUCCUUUUGAAAACUUAUUCUGCAAAACAAAGCAAUGGAGCUUUUGGUACCGAAAAUCUUAUUUGGGUCCGUGAGGUUAGAGACAUAUUAUUUUAUAACUGGAAUCCAAGCAUAUUUUCCAUCUGGAACUCCAAAAUGUUUAAAGUUACAUUUGUUUGAAGUAUGUCCCUUUUUCAUGCAAUAGAAGCAACAAACAUCAUGCACCUUGUUUUUCACAAAAGUUCCUUUUUCUACCCAAACUCUACGAGUUCUUUUAAUUUGGUUCUUACCUUUAAAAACCCUUUUGUUUUUAAAAUCCUUUUUAACAGGUAAAGGAAUUUCAGCAUUAUUAUUUCUUGUUGCAACUUCAAGCAAAAUUUCAAGAAUAUUAAUAUCACGCACAUGACUCUUACAUGAAAGACAUUCAACAGGACGUUCAACAUUUGAAGACUCUUUCAUUUCUAAGUUGCAAAUUUUAUUUCUCAAAAUUACUUCCUCAUNUAANGCCUUAUCAUAUUUAAUUUGCAAUUCUUUAAACUCCUUUUUCAAAUUUUUAUGAGCAACAUUUAAUUUUUCAGAUUCAUUAAGCAAUUCAAGAAAAGAUUUUUGUAAAUCAAACUCACUGGUGUCAAGGCUAGAGCCACUUACUUGGCUUGUAUUGUCAUCAGUAGCAAUCGUCAAACAUAGGUUUGCUUCUUCAACAGUUGAACUAUAAGUGCUUGAUGCAGUAUCCUCCCAAGCAAUGUAGUCCUUUUUCUUUUUGUGAGAUUUCUUUGUUUUUCUUUCUUUACUUCUUUUGUUGCUUGAACAAUCAGCUUUCACAUGGUCUCUUUCACCACAUCCAUAACAUUUGAAGCUUGAUGUCGAGCCUUGAUUGUUCUCCUUCUUCUUCUUCAAGAUUUGGCUUUCACUAUUUGCCAUUAAGCAUAUAUUUUCAUCCUCAUUAAAAUCGCUUGAGCUUGAGGAUUUUGAUGUAGAGCUUGAAUCACACUAUGUCAACUUAUCCACAUCUAUAACUUCAUUAUAAUUGAAUCAUAAAAAUUUCCACAUUUCCUGUGCACUUUUAUAAACAGAAACUUUGAAGAAUUCAUUAGGGGUUAGUGCAGAUAAAGUUAUAUAUCUAGCCUUAAAAUCAAAUUGGGCUCUUCUAUUUUCCUCAGCAGUGCAAUCAAAAUAUGAUUUUUCUACUUCUACACCAUCAACUGUGCUUGUAGGGAUGUAAGGACCAUUUUGUACAGCUUCCCAGAUGCCUCUAUCAACAGACCCCAUCAAAAUUUCCAUUCUAACUUUCCAGAAUGCAUAGUUAUCUCCAGUAAAAAGUGGAGGUCUGUUAAUGGAAGCACCCUCAGCAUAUACAAGGUUUUGAUUAUGACCGGCCAUUUUCGCAAAUAUUUUGAAAAACUAUCAAAGCAAGCUCUGAUACCAAUUAUUGGUACCAGCUAGGGGGUAUGGUUCGAAGAGUAUAACGUAGCGAAAUUUAAACUAAGAGUAAGCGGAAAGCGUAUUCAGUCACUUUUAAAACGAAGUUGGUCCUUUUUCGCAAAAUAAUUUUCUUUCAGAAAAUUAAUCGAACACUUUUAGUUCAGACAAAAGUAACAAGUGCAGGGAGUAGAAAUAUCACACAAGUAAUUUUUAUACUGGUUCGAUUCAGAAGAAUUUACGUCCAGUCGUCAAUCACUAUAAACAGUGAUUAACAAUUCCACUAAAAAGAUGUUUCUCAGAUUACAAUUAUACUGAAUAAAAAGCAAAUAAAUAAACCUUCCUUCGACGAGCGAACCGGAAGAAGACCACUCUGCCAACUCAAAGAGAUCUGCUCCGGAAAUCGACCAACGAUUCGCGAGCUUCUCCUGUUCACGAGACCAGGCAGAG
rnacentral:lncRNA from 1 species